rnacentral:lncRNA from 1 species
GUUCAUGAACCAUAAACCCAUGAACCAUAAACCCAUGAACCAUAUCUAAGUUCAUGAACCAUAAUCCCAUAUACCCAAUACCAUAAACCUUGUGAACCAAACCCAAACCUUCGACCGAAAAGUCGUUAAACUAAUCCACCAAAUCAACUGACCGAAAUGUCGUUAAACUAAACUCAAGUUCAAUUUUCACGAACAUCCCAAUUCCCAAAAUAUUCGAUUCUCUAGCAUAUAAAACUAGAGUCAAAUCACAAUUAUGUUCAAACUUGAUCAAAUUCUAAACCUAUAUUUAGAAUUGAUCAAACCAUCUAAUCAAAUUAAUUUGUUGGAUUCCAAUACAUACAUUUGGAGUUUAAUUUAAAUCAAAUCUGACUAAUCCUAAUACAUAUAAUUAGGAUUUAGUUAAUAUUUCACCUUGAGAUGAACCAAAAUCAAAUGUGACUAAGCUCUAAUACAUAAACUUAGAGCCUAAUUGUAUCAGACUCUAAAAUAUAAAAUUAGAGUCUAAUUCAAGAUAUUUGGGGCUAAUCCUAAUACAUAUAUUUAGGAUGAAAGCUCAAAUCAAACUCUAUUGGAUUUUAUUACAUAUAUUUAAAGUUCAGAGUUUAAUCAAGUUCGAUUAAAUUCCAAUGCAUAUAUAUGGGAUUUAAUCAAUCUUUCAUCUCAUGGUAAACAAAGUUGAGCUCCAAAAUAUAUAGAGCUCAACAAAAUCUGAUCAUCUAUUGGACUUUAUUACAUAUAUUAAAAGUUCAAUUAACCAAAUAAAACUCUAAUACAUAUAAUUAGAGUUUAAUCUGAAUUAAAUCUGAUUAAAUUCCAAUGCAUAUAUAUAUGGAAUUUAAUCAAUCUUUCAUCUUAGGGUGAAUAGUGUUGAGCUCCACAACAUAUAGAAUCCAACAAAAUU